rnacentral:lncRNA from 1 species
UAUAUAUAUAAGUCUAAAAGAACACCAAAUGCUGCACCUUUUCCGAUUUUUAUUUUUUUAUUUUUUCUCAUUUGCAAUUUAUGAAACCUCCACGCUCAAUGAAUUUUCAUCAUCGUAGUUCACUGCACUGAAGAAUUCUACCAUCCUACGAGGCUUCACUGGCAACACCGACAUCUUCACAACACAUCUUUCAACAGCACCCAUUCAUUGUCAUCUUGCAACUGCUGGUGAAAUCAAGUAUCCUGAUUUUGUUGGUAUUACUCGUAUGUCAACCCUCUUGUUUUCAGCGAGACCUUCAAUAAUGCUUGCAGGUCAUGGCAAGCAUGGAACCAAGGUAAAGAAUGUGGAAAAAAAGUGCAACAUCUGCUGCUGUCUUGCAAAAAACAUACAUGAAUGAGCCGGCAAAGAUCAAGGCACGGGCGGUAGCUGAGGGCUACCCAUCUGGAUAUCUUUAUUAUGUGCAUAGUACGCCAAUUCUUCCAAAAACUUUAUCCAGUUGCAAAAAUAUAAUCUUAAAAACGAUUGCCGGGGGUGAGAGUUUUGUUGGAGGUAGCGUGAUACUCCGCUGAGCUUGGAAUUGAAAGGGAGCCAAAAUUGAUAGAAAUACGGCAGAAACAGGCGAUCGGUCAUAGAAACUCUAGCGGCUACAAAUCUUAUGAUACGUUGAUGCAGGAGACAAUACCUGGUCAGGUCGUCUCUUUCACAUUCGAGAGAUUCACACCGCCGUUCUCAACGUUCGAUAGCUGCUAAUCUCUCUACAGCCAGUCGUUGAGACUCCAACUUUUCCUUCUCGGUCGCUGAAGAAUUAUUCCGAGCCUGAUCCGCAGCUUCAGAUGCAAACUUUUCUCUCUUCUCUGCAAUUUUCCAGUGCCGUUCGGCC